GCAGUUUUGGCAAUUUUUUCGUUUUUUUCGUGCUUUUUGCUCACCUGUUUCUCCAUAGAGCUCCUCCUACAGCUUGAUUAUAGAUAUUUGGCAAUGCAGUUGUAAAAUCUUGUUGGCGACUCUCCCUCCUCCCAUCUUCUCCCUCUGGUCAUGUGCAUUUGUUUUCAAAGAAGCAGGCAAACGCACGGAGCCAUGUCCACUGAGGUAGACAGCUAGUAAGCCUACGCCGUAAGCCCGUAACAGACAGCGAUCAUAAU